GGUGAGUGCUGAAUCCACAUCCCGGCCCUCCCCCCAUGUCGCCCUGCGCCUGCCCCUCCCCCUGCCCUCAGCUCUCACCUUCUGCCCCAUCCCCACCCCCUCCCCCUCCCCCAAUCCGCCCCCUGUUCCUCGCCCCCAGGUUCUGCCCCUGCUCCUUCCCCCAUUGCUUCCCCUCCCUCCUCUGCCCCUUCCUGCCAACGGCUCUCUGCCCCUCAGUUUCUCCCCUGCCUGUGCAUCUUUCACCCUGCCCUCUGCCCCCGUUCAGUGGUCAGAGGGUCACCCUCACGUGUCAUCCGACAGAAGCCGCACGGAGGAGACGCCUAGAAACACCUGCCGGGGUGGAGGAGCGGCCUCACAGGUGGCAGGACACUCGCUGUGAGGUCCCAGCAGCGCGUUCCUCCACAUGCUCUGUCCUCAGACCUUUAACCCUUGAGGAGACGUCCACCCCCACCCCCACCCCCCCGAACCUCACAGCUCUGCCCUGGCGUCCAGAACAAGCUGGCCAACACACACACACCCCGCGACUUGCUGCCAUGGCCAACGCCCCUCCCUGGUGCCCCCCACCUUAGAGACCGGAAGAGUCAGGCACCUGCUUCCACCAGCUCCCACAAGGUCACAAGUGCCCGUGGGACUGAGUGUUGGCCCGGGAGAGGGAAGCAGAUGUCCGAUGUUUUCUUGGGGAGACUGUCUUUUUCCCGAUAAAAGGGACAUACUCAGCUGGCAUCCUUUCCCCUCUUCUUUCUUCUUCUAGUCUUGGAUGUACAUGUGAUGCUUAAGAGCCAGCAGCCACUUUAGCACCACAAGGCUAAAAGCUGCUGUUAUUUUUAUAAAAAACGUAGGUUCCCAGACCCAAUUCCAGCGUGGGAGGAGGGGUCCCCACAAUGAACACUAGACGAUCCCCAGAUACGAGAGUGCCCAGAAUUCUCUGUCCUGACACCGUCCACCCAGGGACAGCGACAGGGGCCACGGGUUAGGGGUUCAGCCCCACACGAUCACCCCGCCCCCCAGUGCUCCCAACCACAGGCCACAGAGAGGAGGGUCCUCCUCCACGGGCUCUUCCAGUUGGUUAGAGCGGCUCCCAGAAGUCAGGGAAACGUGCACGUUUACCACCUUUUGGAUGGAUACGACCCUGUGCGCACGCAGGGUGGAGGGGCCGCCUGAGAGCCACCGGGAGAGAAGCCACCCCCCCCCCCCCCCCCGUCAUCUCCGACUCCCAGCAGCCAGAACUGAGACGACAGGAGUGUUUGUCACCCUGUCCGUGGGGUUUGUGACAGCAGCAUCAGUGGGAGGCGACCGGAGGCUCUAAGACACACUGCCCUGGAUGGUUUGACCUGCAUUUCUUCCCCACCUGCUCGCCCGUGCUCGGGACGGUCUUGGGCAACGCCUGUCGUGAUGUAAUUAUUGUUAAAUAGAAAAUCGCAAGCCCCAAAUGGCGUCACUUAGGUCAAGUCUCCCACCUGGAGUCUGGGCCCUGACCUGGGUGCACUUUCCAGCCUGUCCCGGAAACGAAACGAGGCCUGGUCGGCGCCAGUGAGGGCCUCUGCGCCCGGGCCUCGCCACCCACCUCAGACCCCCGCCCUGCCCCUACCUAAGGGAAAGCGGCCUUGCCCGCCGCCAUCUUUUCUUUUCUUUUGACGUUAACUC